CAAAUUGCAGACGCAUGUUAGCUCACCUAUUUGGAUGCUUGCAACCCAAAAUGUAUAAUAAUUUAAUUUGCUUGUUGUGCUACAAGUCAAGGCUAUAUUGUGGUAAGUUAUGACUAAAAUGGUCGAGAUGAGUCACAGUCGCUUGACUAGGUAUCUAAAUUACAAAAAAGGAUUUUCUCUUCCCUUCCCUUCACCUACCCUACCCUACUCUUGAGUUCCUCCUCCAUUGCCCUUGAUGUCACUAUAGAUCCUACCACCUUCAGGAGAUCCAUGGCCUCCUCCUCCACCUUUGACUUCACCACAACAACCUCUCUUCCUCCUUCCCUUCCCUCUCCUCCCUUGAUCCGCUAUUGAGUCCCUCCUCAUUGCUGCCCACCCUAGCCACUUUUGGGAGGCCCAUAGCCACCUCCUUCACUUUGGUCUUCAUUGCAGCAACUUCCUCAUCACCUACCUCCUCUACUACUUUGCCAUGUACCACUCGUCCAUCUUUAUCCACUCCUCGUCUUUGCCCUAGUCCCCCGCCCAACCCCUUGCUUUUGACCACCUUCAUCUACGAUGCCACUCUCCUCCUCCCCUC
rnacentral:lncRNA from 1 species